rnacentral:rRNA from 1 species
GUAACGCGUGGGAACGUACCUUUCACUACGGAAUAGCUCUUGGAAACGAGUGGUAAUACCGUAUACGCCCUUCGGGGGAAAGAUUUAUCGGUGAAAGAUCGGCCCGCGUUAGAUUAGCUAGUUGGUAGGGUAAUGGCCUACCAAGGCGACGAUCUAUAGCUGGUCUGAGAGGAUGAUCAGCCACACUGGGACUGAGACACGGCCCAGACUCCUACGGGAGGCAGCAGUGGGGAAUCUUGCACAAUGGGCGAAAGCCUGAUGCAGCCAUGCCGCGUGAAUGAUGAAGGCCUUAGGGUUGUAAAAUUCUUUCGCUAGGGAUGAUAAUGACAGUACCUAGUAAAGAAGCCCCGGCUAACUUCGUGCCAGCAGCCGCGGUAAUACGAAGGGGGCUAGCGUUGUUCGGAAUUACUGGGCGUAAAGCGCACGUAGGCGGACUUUUAAGUCAGAUGUGAAAUCCCGGGGCUCAACCUCGGAACUGCAUUUGAAACUGGAAGUCUAGAGACCAGGAGAGGUUAGCGGAAUACCGAGUGUAGAGGUGAAAUUCGUAGAUAUUCGGUGGAACACCAGUGGCGAAGGCGGCUAACUGGACUGGUACUGACGCUGAGGUGCGAAAGUGUGGGGAGCAAACAGGAUUAGAUACCCUGGUAGUCCACACCGUAA